UCCAUUAUGGCAGAAUUUAGUGCAAUGAAUUUAAGCUUCAUAUAUAAGUAUAUUUAUUUUAUUGGAA
rnacentral:tRNA from 1 species